rnacentral:tRNA from 1 species
GGGGUUGUGGCUCAAUGAUGGAGCACUCGCCUAGCACACGCGAGGCCCUGGGUUGGAUUCUCAGCACCACA